GAUGAACGCUGGCGGCGUGCUUAACACAUGCAAGUCGAACGAUGAAGCCCAGCUUGCUGGGUGGUUUAGUGGCGAACGGGUGAGUAACACGUGAGUAACCUGCUCUUAACUCUGGGAUAAGCCUGGGAAACUGGGUCUAUUACCGGUUAGGCGCGCCUACCGCAUGGUGGGUGUUGGGGAGAUUUAUCGGUUUUGGAUGGACUCGCGGCCUAUCCGCUUGUUGGUGAGGUAAUGGUUCACCAAGGCGACGCCGGGUAGCCGGCCUGAGAGGGUGACCGGCCACAAUGGGACUGAGACACGGACCAGACGGCUACGGGAGGCAGCAGUGGGGAAUAUUGCACAAUGGGCGAAAGCCUGAUGAAGCGACGCCGCGUGAGGGAUGACGGCCUUCGGGUGGUAAACCGCAUUCAGUAGGGAAGAAGCGAAAGUGACGGUACCUGCAGAAGAAGCACCGGCUAACUACGUG
rnacentral:rRNA from 1 species